rnacentral:rRNA from 1 species
UACAUCGGAACGUGUCCUGUAGCGGGGGAUAACCUCUCGAAAGAGAGGCUAAUACCGCAUACGACCCAUGGGUGAAAGUGGGGGACUCGCAAGGGCCUCACGCUAUGGGAGCGGCCGAUGUCCGAUUAGCUUGUUGGCGGGGUAAUGGCCCACCAAGGCGACGAUCGGUAGCUGGUCUGAGAGGAUGAUCAGCCACACUGGGACUGAGACACGGCCCAG